rnacentral:rRNA from 1 species
CAAUAGCGUAUAUUAAAGUUGUUGCAGUUAAAAAGCUCGUAGUUGGAUUUCUGAUCGAGACAUCAGGUCGGGUCCGAGAGGAUCAUGUACUUUGAUUUUGUUUUGAUCAUCCUUGGGGAGAGCAUUUCUGGCAUUCAGUUGUCGGGAUUGGGAUCCUCAUCGUUUACUGUGAAAAAAUUAGAGUGUUCAAAGCAGGCCUCGGCCACUGAAUACAUUAGCAUGGAAUAAUAAGAUAGGACUUUGGUGGUCUAUUUUGUUGGUUUGCACGCCAAAGUAAUGAUUAAUAGGGAUAGUUGGGGGUAUUCGUAUUCAAUUGUCAGAGGUGAAAUUCUUGGAUUUAUGGAAGACGAACUACUGCGAAAGCAUUUACCAAGGAUGUUUUCAUUAA